AUACCUUUCUCGGCCUUUUGGCUAAGAUCAAGUGUAGUAUCUGUUCUUAUCAGUUUAAUAUGUGAUACGUGGUUCAUCGAUCCACAUGAUAUUAAAUUAAUUUUUCUUUGGGGAAAGGCCCACUAACAGUGGCUUGCUACUGGGGUCUUUAAGCGUCGCUCAUGCGUUGCACUACUGCACGGGCCCGGCGCACCCCUA